GGAGUUGUAGCUCAGUGAUAGAGCGCUUACCUAGCAUGCAUGAGACACUGGGUUCAAUCCUCAGUACCA
rnacentral:tRNA from 1 species